rnacentral:rRNA from 1 species
AUACGUAGGGUGCGAGCGUUGUCCGGAAUUACUGGGCGUAAAGAGCUCGUAGGUGGUUUGUCGCGUCGUCUGUGAAAUUCCGGGGCUUAACUCCGGGCGUGCAGGCGAUACGGGCAUAACUUGAGUACUGUAGGGGAGACUGGAAUUCCUGGUGUAGCGGUGAAAUGCGCAGAUAUCAGGAGGAACACCGGUGGCGAAGGCGGGUCUCUGGGCAGUAACUGACGAUGAGGAGCGAAAGCAUGGGUAGCGAACAGGAUUAGAUACCCUGGUAGUCCAUGCCGUAAACGGUGGGCGCUAGGUGUAGGGGUCUUCCACGACUUCUGUGCCGUAGCUAACGCAUUAAGCGCCCCGCCUGGGGAGUACGGCCGCAGGGCUAAAACUCAAAUGAAUUGACGGGG